rnacentral:rRNA from 1 species
CCUACGGGAGGCUGCAGUGGGGAAUAUUGGACAAUGGGGGCAACCCUGAUCCAGCCAUGCCGCGUGUGUGAAGAAGGCCCUCGGGUUGUAAAGCACUUUCAGUGAGGAAGAACGCCUGGUGGUUAAUACCCAUCAGGAAAGACAUCACUCACAGAAGAAGCACCGGCUAACUCCGUGCCAGCAGCCGCGGUAAUACGGAGGGUGCGAGCGUUAAUCGGAAUUACUGGGCGUAAAGCGCGCGUAGGUGGCUUGAUAAGCCGGUUGUGAAAGCCCCGGGCUCAACCUGGGAACGGCAUCCGGAACUGUCAAGCUAGAGGGCAGGAGAGGAAGGUAGAAUUCCCGGUGUAGCGGUGAAAUGCGUAGAGAUCGGGAGGAAUACCAGUGGCGAAGGCGGCCUUCUGGACUGACACUGACACUGAGGUGCGAAAGCGUGGGUAGCAAACAGGAUGAGAUACCCGUGUAGUC